rnacentral:rRNA from 1 species
GGCCGCGGGAAUUUCGAUUGGCGGACGGGUGAGUAAUGCUUGGGAAUCUGCCCGGUAGUGGGGGACAACCAUUGGAAACGAUGGCUAAUACCGCAUACGACCUACGGGUGAAAGAGGGGGAUCUUCGGACCUCUUGCUAUCGGAUGAGCCCAAGUCGGAUUAGCUAGUUGGUGGGGUAAAGGCCUACCAAGGCGACGAUCCGUAGCUGGUUUGAGAGGAUGAUCAGCCACAUCGGGACUGAGACACGGCCCGAACUCCUACGGGAGGCAGCAGUGGGGAAUAUUGCACAAUGGGGGAAACCCUGAUGCAGCCAUGCCGCGUGUGUGAAGAAGGCCUUCGGGUUGUAAAGCACUUUAAGUUGUGAGGAAGGCUACAAGAUUAAUACUCUUGUAGAUUGACGUUAGCAACAGAAUAAGCACCGGCUAACUCCGUGCCAGCAGCCGCGGUAAUACGGAGGGUGCAAGCGUUAAUCGGAAUUACUGGGCGUAAAGCGCGCGUAGGCGGCUAUUCAAGCCAGAUGUGAAAUCCCAGGGCUUAACCUUGGAACUGCAUUUGGAACUGGGUAGCUAGAAUACAGCAGAGGAGUGUGGAAUUUCAGGUGUAGCGGUGAAAUGCGUAGAGAUCUGAAGGAACAUCAGUGGCGAAGGCGACACUCUGGGCUGAUAUUGACGCUGAGGUGCGAAAGCGUGGGUAGCAAACAGGAUUAGAUACCCUGGUAGUCCACGCCGUAAACGAUGUCUACUAGUUGUUGGUUCCCUUGAGGAAUUAGUGACGCAGCUAACGCAUUAAGUAGACCGCC